GGACGGUUAGCUCAGCUGGUAGAGCAUCUGCUUGACGUGCAGGAGGUCAUAGGUUCGAGUCCUAUACCGUCCACCA
rnacentral:tRNA from 1 species